AGAGUUUGAUCCUGGCUCAGGAUGAACGCUGGCGGCGUGCCUAAUACAUGCAAGUCGAACGCUUCACUUCGGUGAAGAGUGGCGAACGGGUGAGUAAUACAUAAGUAACCUGGCAUCUACAGGGGGAUAACUGAUGGAAACGUCAGCUAAGACCGCAUAGGUGUAGAGAUCGCAUGAACUCUAUAUGAAAAGUGCUACGGGACUGGUAGAUGAUGGACUUAUGGCGCAUUAGCUGGUUGGUAGGGUAACGGCCUACCAAGGCGACGAUGCGUAGCCGACCUGAGAGGGUGACCGGCCACACUGGGACUGAGACACGGCCCAGACUCCUACGGGAGGCAGCAGUAGGGAAUUUUCGGCAAUGGGGGAAACCCUGACCGAGCAACGCCGCGUGAAGGAAGAAGUAAUUCGUUAUGUAAACUUCUGUCAUAGAGGAAGAACGGUGGAUAUAGGGAAUGAUAUCCAAGUGACGGUACUCUAUAAGAAAGCCACGGCUAACUACGUGCCAGCAGCCGCGGUAAUACGUAGGUGGCGAGCGUUAUCCGGAAUUAUUGGGCGUAAAGAGGGAGCAGGCGGCACUAAGGGUCUGUGGUGAAAGAUCGAAGCUUAACUUCGGUAAGCCAUGGAAACCGUAGAGCUAGAGUGUGUGAGAGGAUCGUGGAAUUCCAUGUGUAGCGGUGAAAUGCGUAGAUAUAUGGAGGAACACCAGUGGCGAAGGCGACGAUCUGGCGCAUAACUGACGCUCAGUCCCGAAAGCGUGGGGAGCAAAUAGGAUUAGAUACCCUAGUAGUCCACGCCGUAAACGAUGAGUACUAAGUGUCGGGCAACCGGUGCUGAAGUUAACACAUUAAGUACUCCGCCUGAGUAGUACGGUCGCAAGGCUGAAACUCAAAGGAAUUGACGGGCACCCGCACAAGCGGUGGAGCAUGCUGUUUAAUUCGAAGAUACGCGAAGAACCUUACCUAGACUUGACAUCCCAGGCAAAGCUAUAGAAAUAUAGUGGAGGUUAUCCUGGUGACAGGUGGUGCAUGGUUGUCGUCAGCUCGUGUCGUGAGAUGUUCGGUUAAGUCCGAUAACGAGCGCAACCCUUAUCGUUAGUUGCUAACAUUUAGUUGAGAACUCUAGCGAGACUGCCGGUGACAAACCGGAGGAAGGUGGGGAUGACGUCAAAUCAUCAUGCCCCUUACGUCUAGGGCUACAGGCGUGCUACAAUGGCCGAUACAAAAAGACGCAAUACCGCGAGGUGGAGCUAAUCUCUAAAAUCGGUCUCAGUUCGGAUUGGAGUCUGCAACUCGACUCCAUGAAGCUGGAAUCGCUAGUAAUCCUGAAUCAGAAUGUCAGGGUGAAUACGUUCCCGGGUGUUGUACACACCGCCCGUCACGCUAUGAGAGUCUGUAAUACCCGAAGUUGGUAGCCUAACCUUUUAGGAGGGGGCCGGCGAAGGUAGGACAGGUGAUUGGAGUGAAGUCGUAACAAGGUAUCCCUACCGGAAGGUGGGGAUG
rnacentral:rRNA from 1 species